GAUGAACGCUAGCGGCAGGCCUAACACAUGCAAGUCGAGGGGCAGCAUAAAACAAGCUUGCUUGUUUGGUGGCGACCGGCGCACGGGUGCGUAACGCGUAUGCAACCUACCCUGUACUGAGGGAUAGCCCGGAGAAAUUCGGAUUAACACCUCAUAGGAUCUUAGAUCGGCAUCGAUUAGAGAUUAAAGGUUACGGUACAGGAUGGGCAUGCGUCCCAUUAGCUAGAUGGUAGGGUAACGGCUUACCAUGGCAACGAUGGGUAGGGGGCCUGAGAGGGUGGUCCCCCACACUGGUACUGAGACACGGACCAGACUCCUACGGGAGGCAGCAGUGAGGAAUAUUGGUCAAUGGGCGCAAGCCUGAACCAGCCAUGCCGCGUGCAGGAAGACGGUCCUAUGGAUUGUAAACUGCUUUUGUACGGGAAGAAACCCUAUUACGUGUAGUAGAUUGACGGUACCGUACGAAUAAGGAUCGGCUAACUCCGUG
rnacentral:rRNA from 1 species